rnacentral:rRNA from 1 species
GCCCAGUGACAUGUUCAACGGCCGCGGUAUCCUAACCGUGCGAAGGUAGCGUAAUCACUUGUUCUUUAAAUGGGGACUAGUAUGAAUGGCAUCACGAGGGUUAUACUGUCUCCUUUUUCUAAUCAGUGAAACUAAUCUCCCCGUGAAGAGGCGGGGAUAAAACUAUAAGACGAGAAGACCCUAUGGAGCUUUAAACUCACCUUCAAGUGCUGGCUCCUUUCUACCCAUUUACAAUCAUCCAACCACCAUGAAGACAAGUUUUAGGUUGGGGUGACCGCGGAGCACAAAAAAACCUCCGCAUUGAACUAGGCCUCAAAACCUUGAACAAAGGGCCACGACCCUAUGUACCAAAAAAUUUUCAUCCAUUGACCCAUUUUUAUGACCAAUGAACCAAGUUACCCUAGGGAUAACAGCGCAAUCUGCUCCAAGAGUCCAUAUCGACGAGCGGGUUUACGACCUCGAUGUUGGAUCAGGGUGUCCCAGUGGUGCAGCCGCUACUAAUGGUUCGUUUGUUCAACGAUUAAAACCCUACGUGA